GGUGUGAAGGCGUGGAAGGGUGGGAAGGUGGACUUCCACAGUUACAAGGAGGGGUGUGUGGAGUUGGCGUGUGUGAUGGAGUGUGUGGAGUUGGAGUGUGUGAUGGAGUGGAAGGAGUUGGAGUAUGUGAUGGAGGUGAAGGGUGAGAAGGAGUUGAAGGAGAAGGGUCGUAAGGUGGACUUCCACAGUUAGAAGAAGGAGGCGUGUGUGAUGGAGGAGUUCCAUGUGAGCCUGCAUGAGUUAAGUGAAAGAAGCAUAGUGAAGAUUCUUAUUACAUCAAGCGAAUAAAAAAAGUUACAAUGUUUGGUUUCUUACCAGAGGGAGGAGAUAAGUAGUAUGUUUUGGCAUCCUCAAACCUUACGGAAGCAACAGAAGCAAAGAGCUGCUGUGAGAGUAAAGCAGCAAAGAGAGCCCAAACGGCAAAACUCACCAUCCCUCUCAUUUUAUGAGAAUUCACUGAGAUUCAGAGAGAAGUUUGUUGCAAAUGGUAUUGUGUG
rnacentral:lncRNA from 1 species